AUGGAAACCACUACUCUAGACAACAGACCUUCAGCCCUUGAUUGUGGAUCGCCUGAUGUCUUCUCUGCUGCCUCCUUCUGUACUUGUGGCACCUACUGGCAGUUUUGGUUUGUGGAGGACACACGUGGGACCUCUCUCUCACACUCUCCUGGGGGUGGAAAUGGCAGAUCCCCUCCUGGGCAGGGUGGCCCCAUUGAGGUUGAUUCUGGGGUGAGAGCCAACUUCUCUGCCUGCUGCGUAUAACUCCAACUCCGGGUCCAAAUUGGGCACAUUAUUUUGGGUACCAGGAGAACAUUCGUUGACGUGUGCCGUUCCACUAGGCAUCUCUGGGCACUUUUUCUCCAGAAGAGUAGCACUAAAUUAAAAUUCUAACUCAAGUUUACAGGCUGAUGAGUAGGAAGGCUGGGGGAGCAGGAAAGGGAGCCGAGCAGAGGGCAGACGGCAGAUGGUGUUGCGCGGCCACCUUGAUUGGUUUGGCCACAAGACAAUGCGGAAGGAUGAUUUACUAGGUGCUUCCUUCACCUUGCAUGGAUGAUACAGGCAGAUGAUGGAAUGUACUUUUGCUUUUUUUUUUCUGUAACAGAAUGCCUUUGGCAGGGAUACUUCCCAGUUAUUAAAAAUGGGGCAAUGAGGUGAGCUCUAAAUGCAAACCCCGUGUAGGAAAAUCCAGAAGAAAUAAGGAUAAGAAGAUGGAGAAAGGAAAGAUUAAAAGUCAGUGAAGAGAAGAAUAAAGAAAGAUUGUUGCAAUGGGAUGGGAAAGAU
rnacentral:lncRNA from 1 species